rnacentral:rRNA from 1 species
CUACGGGAGGCACCAGUGGGGAAUCUUGCGCAAUGGGCGAGAGCCUGACGCAGCAACGCCGCGUGCGGGAAGAAUGCCCUUUGGGCUGUAAACCGCUUUCAGCAGGAACGAAAAUGACGGUACCUGCAGAAGAAGAAGCGGCCAACUAUGUGCCAGCAGCCGCGGUGAUACAUAGGCGUCGAGCGUUGUCCGGAUUUAUUGGGCGUAAAGAGUUCGUAGGCGGUUAAGUAAGUCGGGUGUGAAGAUUCUGGGAUCAACCCAGAAACGCCACCCGAUACUGCUUGACUUGAGUUCGACAGGGGAGUGGGGAAUUCCUAGUGUAGCGGUGAAAUGCGCAGAUAUUAGGAGGAACACCGGUGGCGAAGGCGCCACUCUGGGUCGACACUGACGCUGAGGAACGAAAGCAUGGGUAGCAAACAGGAUUAGAUACACGGGUAGUC